CUACGGGUUGCAGCAGUGGGGAAUAUUGCACAAUGGGCGCAAGCCUGAUGCAGCAACGCCGCGUGAGGGACGAAGGCCUUCGGGUUGUAAACCUCUUUUAGCAGGGAAGAAGCGAAAGUGACGGUACCUGCAGAAAAAGCACCGGCUAACUACGUGCCAGCAGCCGCGGUAAUACGUAGGGUGCAAGCGUUGUCCGGAAUUAUUGGGCGUAAAGAGCUCGUAGGCGGUUUGUCACGUCUGCUGUGAAAUUUCGAGGCUCAACCUCGAACUUGCAGUGGGUACGGGCAGGCUAGAGUGCGGUAGGGGAGAUGGGAAUUCCUGGUGUAGCGGUGGAAUGCGCAGAUAUCAGGAGGAACACCAAUGGCGAAGGCACAUCUCUGGGCCGUAACUGACGCUGAGGAGCGAAAGCGUGGGGAGCGAACAGGAUUAGAUACCCCGGUAGUC
rnacentral:rRNA from 1 species